rnacentral:rRNA from 1 species
AAUCAAGCGUUUAAGGGCGAUUGGCGGAUGCCUUGGCACUGUAAGACGAUGAAGGACGUGGUAUACUGCGAUAAGUUUCGGGGAGCUGUAUGCAGGCUUUGAUCCGAAAAUAUCCGAAUGGGGAAACCCAACACUUCGUGUGUUACUUUAUACUAAAUACAUAGGUAUAAAGGGUGAACCUGGAGAACUGAAACAUCUAAGUAACCAGAGGAAAAGAAAUCAAUUGAGACUCCGUGAGUAGUGGCGAGCGAAAGCGGACUAGGCCAGCAACUUAGUUUAGACAAUUUGAAUAGUUUGGAAAAACUGACCACAGAGGGUGACAGUCCCGUAAAAGUAAUACUGAUCUAAGUUCUUGAGUAAAGCGGGACACGUGAAAUCCUGCUCGAAUUAUGGGGGACCACCCUCUAAGCCUAAGUACUCUACAGUGACCGAUAGUGAACUAGUACCGUGAGGGAAAGGUGAAAAGAACCCCUAUUAGGGGAGUGAAAUAGAACCUGAAACCGUAUGCCUACAAACAGUCAAAGCUCUUUUUAGAGUGAUGGCGUACCUUUUGUAUAAUGGGU